CUUAUGUUUGUAUGAGGAGCAAAUCAUGGGACCCAUUUCUAUCUUGGGAUGAUAUCCAAUAUAAUUGUCUAAUUGUCUUCUGCGAAGGGGCCUGGUCAUAUCAUGAGAAAUGUUUCCAACCUCCCUCACAUGUCAGCCAAGUGGUAUCUUCUAACUACAGGCUGGAUUGGCUUUCUAAGUGCAGAGACUUGUUGCUGGUGACUUUGCCCCUUUUAUCUGGACUUAGGAAUGGCAAUACUCAGCUUCUGCUGGGAAUUUGCUGGGUAUAUCGGCUACAAACUGUCAAGCCAUCUUAAGUCUUAUCAAGUGAUAGCAUGCAUAUCGGUCUUCUCGCUGCAGCUGUUCAUGCCGUUUAAACAAUUAGUCGGCUUACAAUUUUCUACAGCCCAAGGCAAGCCCUUCAGAUUUUGUCAUACCGCUUGCAAAGUCUGUUAAGACUGUAUACUAUACCAGUGUAUCUGUGGGGAUGUGUUUCAAGAUGCUUUUUGAGACAGGAGAGUCUAGCGUGAGGAGAUAAGUUCAAAUCUGUUUGCAACAUCACCUCGUUAUUGAAGUGGGAGAAACGAAAGACGACUAGUCUUUUUCGUGGUCUCGAUCCACAUUCUAUUCCAGCAGAAGAACUGUCGGCAUCUUUGAGGUACACGCUACAUUCCAUCAAUAUUGCAGUCCGUAUCCUAUCCACGAUUGUUCUUCAUGGAUCAGGCUUUAAGAGUUCCUACUGAAGUAUAUGACAGUCCCAGAGCAAGGUUUACCCUCUUUUUAUACCUAGGAAAAAUGUUUGCACAGGUGGUGAAGAAACCCCAUUGACAGAAAGUGGUUCGAGUUACUUUGGAGCUGACUCUGGAUUCUGUCAAGAAACAGUCUUUUGGUUCCAAGAGAAGCAAUAGUUUUAGUUUCUCUGGUGCAUCUUCUCACUCCAUGGAGAGGCAUCGAUAUUUGCAGAGAGGAAUGUUGUCGUCAUCAAAGGCCCUUCGAACUGCUUUUGAAUCGAACAUUGCUUCAAGGUCAGAAAAGCAAGCGCAGCCGCUAAACAGAUUGAUUUGAAGUGAAGUUCAGCCGUAUCAUCAGACAUCAUGCACACAACCAUCAUGGUAAAUUCCUGUUCAGCACGCACAGUAGGUCUCCGUGUGCUCUGUACGGCCUAGUGCUGCUGCGCUAGCUGGUUGGGUGCGUCCGUGCGUGGACGCGCUGUAGCAACCAGGGCACCCCUGUCCAUGGUCGCGAUCGCGGCCUCCGCUGGCCUGGCCCUUGGCGUGUGCGGGGCGUAGAGACGGAGGAGAAUGUUGUACUAUGUGCGGGCGCGGCGAGCGAAGCCGGCUGGACCAGACCAGACCACACCAGGGCCAGAGCCAGGGCCACGUGGCAUUGGCUCGGCGUAGAGAACGUCCUCCCAAUAUCUAUGAAUUUACUACAAUAUACGUCUCAUUAUUUUUAGAUUCAUAUAUGUAUCCAUCACGGGGGCCUCCGGCCUCGUUAUAGCAAGUAUGGGCUGACUGUAAUAUAAUAUCCAACUCCGAUUCAAAACUGUAAUGUUUAUUACAAAAUUUGACUU